rnacentral:tRNA from 5 species
GGCGCGAUAGCAAAGUGGUUAUGCACCGGAUUGCAAAUCCGUUCACGGCAGUUCGAUUCUGCCUCGCGCCUCCA